rnacentral:rRNA from 1 species
GUGCUACAAUGGCGCAUACAAAGAGAAGCGACCUCGCGAGAGCAAGCGGACCUCAUAAAGUGCGUCGUAGUCCGGAUUGGAGUCUGCAACUCGACUCCAUGAAGUCGGAAUCGCUAGUAAUCGUGGAUCAGAAUGCCACGGUGAAUACGUUCCCGGGCCUUGUACACACCGCCCGUCACACCAUGGGAGUGGGUUGCAAAAGAAGUAGGUAGCUUAACCUUCGGGAGGGCGCUUACCACUUUGUGAUUCAUGACUGGGGUGAAGUCGUAACAAGGUAACCGUAGGGGAACCUGCGGUUGGAUCACCUCCUUACCUUAAAGAAGC